rnacentral:rRNA from 1 species
GUCCACGCCGUAAACGAUGAGUGCUAGCUGCUGGAACUCCUAUACUUGUUUCGGUAGCGCAGCUAACGCGUUAAGCACUCCGCCUGGGAAGUACGGUCGCAAGACUAAAACUCAAAGGAAUUGACGGGGCCCGCACAAGCGGUGGAGCAUGUGGUUUAAUUCGAAGCAACGCGCAGAACCUUACCUGGGUUUGACAUCCUCAGAACCCCGAUGAAAGUUGGGGUGGUCCUCGCAAGAGGAAACUGAGAGACAGGUGCUGCAUGGCUGUCGU